UACGGAGGGGGGCUAGCGUUGUUCGGAAUUACUGGGCGUAAAGCGCACGUAGGCGGCUUUGUAAGUUAGAGGUGAAAGCCCGGGGCUCAACUCCGGAAUUGCCUUUAAGACUGCAUCGCUAGAAUUGUGGAGAGGUAAGUGGAAUUCCGAGUGUAGAGGUGAAAUUCGUAGAUAUUCGGAAGAACACCAGUGGCGAAGGCGACUUACUGGACACAUAUUGACGCUGAGGUGCGAAAGCGUGGGGGAGCGAACAGG
rnacentral:rRNA from 1 species